rnacentral:lncRNA from 1 species
UCCCAAUACUUUUUUUAACACUACCUCUUAUCAUAGAUAAUUCUCCACCACCACUUGGCCAGUGGUACCACAUUUGCUUCCCUAAUUCUUCUAAUCCCCAAAUCCCCUUUUUCUUAGGAUAAGCACACUCUUCCCCAUUUAACCAAGUGUAUCUAGCAUUUGUUUGAUGACCCACACCACAAGAAGUCAUAUAGGAGGAAGAAGGAAACCUAAAAUAAAUUAAAAAAUUAAUAAUAAAAACUAAGGGUCUGUUUGACAGCACCUUAAUAUCCUAAUAUUUUAGGAUAAUAUAGAAUCUAUUGUAAUUUGAAUUUUACAAGCAAAUAUUCCAUGUUUGAUAGGACCAAAUUAGAUCUUCUUAUAUUCCGAUAACCUCCAAAUAUUUGAAUCCCGAAAAUUCAAGUUUUACUUGAAUUUUACGGGAUUCACUUUGAGCCUCAAAAUCUUUUGCAUCUCUCUCCCUCUCUCACCCACUCAUACCAUCAUCUUUCUCUCUCCCUCUCCAUCCAACAUCCGCUUUCUAUGAUUCAACUCAUACCCUCUCUCUCUCUCCUCUCUCUCUCUCUCUCUCUCUCUCUCUCUCUCUCUCUCUCUCUACUACUACUACUACGUACUACGUACUACGUAACGUACGUAACGUAACGUAACGUAACGUAACGUAACGGUAACGUAACGGUAACGUAACGUAACGUAACGUAACGUAACGNNNNNNNNNNNNNNNNNNNNACGUAACGUUUUAACGGGUUAACGUUUACGUACGUUUACGUUACGUACCUCUAAACUACUUUCGUUCACUCUCUCUCCCUCCUCUCACCACUACACUACACUCACUCUUCUCUCUCCUCCUCCACUCACACUCCGCUUCUAUGAUUCAACUCACUACCUCUCUCUCUCUCGCUCUCUCUCUCUCUCUCUCUCUCUCUCUCUCAUCAAAAAGUUGCGCAGAAAGAUCAACAUCUUAGAGAGGGAAAGUCUCGUGAGAGAUCAACAUCUUAGAGAGGGAGAACAACAUCCACCAAUGAAGCUAUCCCCUCCUCAGAACCCCAACAUCUGCCAUUGAAGCUAAGUUCAAGCUCCGAAGAACAAAACUAGAUCAAGACCCAUGCAAGAGCCAGAGCACUUGAUUCCAGGCCUCCUUGAUGAUAUCCCCAUAUCCUAUCUCUUUCGCCUUACAUUCCUGUACCAGUUGAUUGCCAGUUCGGUCUCAUCUUCAUGGAACAAACCCAUCAUCAAAUAUGUGUCAAAUAUAAAAAAUCAAUGAGUUAUAAUUUGUCAGCCAAAAAGUCAAAAAAUUACAAAUCUACAAAAAUUUUGAAAUGCAAUUAGACAGCCAAACGUGCACAUAAAAAGACAUAUCAUCAUAAUAUAAAAUCUAAAUAUACACAAAGCAAGCAAUGCCUUUAUUCAAAUUUCUAAAAAAUUGAAUAUCUAAAUCAUGUUCUGUCAAACAUACCCUAAAGGUGAGAGAUAAUACCCUCUCUCUAGGUCUGCAAGGGAGUGCACCCCAAAAGUACUUUUCACAAGACUCAAAAUCAAGUCUUCUUCUCUAUCUUCUUCUUUUCCAAUACUUAACAUAUUUAUGAAAGGAAAAUUUUUUACCAAUUAUUAAAUUUAUACAAAAUAAGCCAUUGACACACAUGCUUACCUAUCACAUCCUCAUAUUUAAUAUACGCCAUACAUCAUGAGAGUAUCAUUGAUACUCAAUAAGAAGCACCGCAAGACCAUAUCAAAAGCAAUGGGAAACUAAGAUCAAAACAAAAUGGAAAGUCCACAAAAUCUAUAUCUAGCCAAGUCCACAAAAAGAAAUGGGAUUUAAACAAAAUGAAGACAAAGUCCACACAAUCUAUGUCUAGCCAAGUCCACAAAAAGAGACCAAGAUUCAUAUAAAAAGAAGACAAAUCCAUAAAAUGUGAAAACAAAGUCUACAAUAUCUAGUUCAUCUCAUAGACCAUACUCAUUCCAAAUCCAAACUAUCCUUUCCUCCUCAUUCAUAGUCCAGAAGAUUUCACUCAAAGCGGCAUCAGGAAUGAUUUAUUGAAUAGCUUCACAUUUCAAAGAGUGGACUCAUUUAAGUUUUAAGCC